CGUUGAGCAUGUUCUUGCGGGAACAUAGGAGCCAUCAGUGAGAUACCACUCUUUUAAUGUUAGAUUUCUAACCUUGAACCAUUAUCUGGUCAAGGAACAGUUUCAGGCGGGCAGUUUGACUGGGGCGGUCGCCUCCUAAACGGUAACGGAGGCGUACAAAGGUUUCCUCUGAACGAAUAGAAAUCGUAUCUAGAGUAUAAAGGCAUAAGGAAGCUUGACUGUGAGACCUACAAGUCGAGCAGGGACGAAAGUCGGUCUUAGUGAUCUGACGGUACUGAGUGGAAAGGCCGUCACUCAACGGAUAAAAGUUACUCUAGGGAUAAC
rnacentral:rRNA from 1 species